GUAACUUAAGAGAUAUAGCUGAGAAUACAGUAAGAUUUUCGAAGCAGAGUUGAUUUUAGAUUUGGUCGAGAUAUCCAAUCUUCUUUACGUUUACAUCGUUUCCUUCAUUUCGCUCGAGACUCAAGUUUUGUGGUGGGAAGAUCGCGACCCUGCUCGUUCCAUCCGAGUUUGCUGCUCCAGAGAAGGUACUUGUUCCUUUGCUCUCACGUUUUCUCUUUGAUUAUCUCAAGUUAUCAGUGAUUGGGUUGCUGCG
rnacentral:misc_RNA from 1 species